GAUGAAGAACGCAGCGAAAUGCGAUAAGUAGUGUGAAUUGCAGAAUUCAGUGAAUCAUCGAAUCUUUGAACGCUCAUUGCGUCCUUUGGUAUUCCUUAGGGCAUGCCUGUUCGAGCGUCAUUUAAACCUUCAAGCUAAGCUUGGUGUUGGGUGACUGUCCGCUUCACGGCGGACUCGCCUCAAAAUUAUUGGCGGCCGGUACAUUGGCUUCGAGCGCAGCAGAAACGCGAACUCGGGCCCGUCGUAUUGGCUCCCAGAAGCUAUCUUCACAAUUUUGACCUCGGAUCAGGUAGGGAUACCCGCUGAACUUAAGCAUAUCAAUAAGCGGAGGA
rnacentral:misc_RNA from 1 species